CUAAUACAUGCGCAAAUAUCCUUUUUCGCAAGGAAGAGGAUAGUGUUUAUUAGAUACAGAACCAAUACACCAGUGUCACAGCUGGUGUGAAAAAGGUGAUUCAUAGUAACCGAACGGAUCGCAUUAUGGUCAUUCUUUUGUAAUGGCUGGCGAUAGAUCAUUCAAGUUUCUGACCUAUCAGCUUUCGACGGUAGUGUAUUGGACUACCGUGGCAGUGACGGGUAACGGGGAAUUAGGGUUCGAUUCCGGAGAGGGAGCCUGAGAAACGGCUACCACAUCUAAGGAAGGCAGCAGGCGCGCAAAUUACCCAAUCCUGACUCAGGGAGGUAGUGACAAGAAAUAACAACACUGGAAAUUUUAUUUCUAGUGAUUGGAAUGAUGGGAAUUUAAACCCCUUUCAGAGUAACAAUUGGAGGGCAAGUCUGGUGCCAGCAGCCGCGGUAAUUCCAGCUCCAAUAGCGUAUAUUAAAGUUGUUGCAGUUAAAAAGCUCGUAGUUGGAUGUCUGCUGGAAGCAAUCAGUCCGCCCUAUUUGUAUGGUGUGCACUUGAUGAAUUCUGGCAUUUUUGUCCCAAUGAUGUAACGGAGCGGUGGUAUUCGGUGAAAGCCGAGUAUCCUGUUUUCCGAUUAUUGGGAUACUAGUUACUUUGAGAAAAUUAGAGUGUUUGAAGCAGGC
rnacentral:rRNA from 1 species